UAACUAACGGUUAAACCAUGCUACUGUAUACAUACAGUAAAUCUUUAAGGUAGGACAUGCUCUUGAAUGUAUGAUCUGAUCUUGUAGUGUACAUGCUGCUGAAAUAAAUAUGGUUAGAUCAUGCUGAGGCACUGAUGUUCUUGAAUGUGGGCAACUCUUAAUUAGACAGACAGGUUCAAAUUUCACUUCCAAUACCAUUUCACUGGCUCAGUACACAUUUUAUAUAAUUGUGUAGAUAAUCUUUUCUUCUCCUUUGCCCCCCUUGCCCCUAUGUGUUACUAAUAAUUUUUUCUCCUUUGCCCCCCUUGCCCCUAUGUGUUACUAAUAAUUUUUUCUCCUUUGCCCCCCUUGCCCCUAUGUGUUACUAAUCAUUUUUUCUCCUUUGCCCCCCUUGCCCCUAUGUGUUACUAAUCUUUUCUUCUCCUUUGCUCCCUUGCCCCUAUGUGUUACUAAUCUUUUUUUCUCCUUUGCCCCCCUUGCCCCUAUGUGUUACUAAUCUUUUCUUCUCCUUUG
rnacentral:lncRNA from 1 species